AUUUGAGCUAUGAGCUGUGUCACCUUGUAUGUGCCUGUUCCAGCCUGAGGUGGGACUGGAAAGGAAACUUCUGGAAUACACGAGGAAGACCAUUCUUGUGGGAUUGCCAUCUCAGCCAAAACCGGGAAGCUUUGGAAAACUUGCCAAGGAGGGAAAAAAAAAUUAGACUGCUCGUGAGAGUUUGCCAGCCUGGUUUCCAGGCCAAGGGGAUUUGGAGCAGCAUCUGGAUGUUUCAGAGGUUAUCCAAACCAGACCAGAAGACUCUCACUCCCUCUUCACGUAGGAGUUCGGCCUUCUGAGCUGGGCUGUCAGUGAGGAUGUUCCUGGACUGGAAUGCUCAGCAGCAGCUCCAGCCUUCCAAGAGCAGUGACUUGUUUCCCAUGACCAGAGGAGCUGCUGUACUGCUGUCCAGCUGACCACAAGCUGCAAGCUAAAAAGGCUUCUCCCUGAAAACAGAGGAAAACAAUGCACCAAAAAGCCAUUCUUGGCAUUUUUCUAAAAAUGCCUUUACCUCUCGUCCUUUCCAAAGGCCAUUUAAAGCCAAGCAGCUCCUGUCCUUUCUUUUCCAGCUCUCAGUGGGAUGUAAAUUAGCAUCCAGCCUAGGUGGAGGUGUGGCAGCAGAAGAUGUGAUCCUGUGUGGUUACAAGACAUUGUACAAAUCCAUGAGUUCAAAUCCAGGAGGAAUUUUUAAAGUCUUGCUGUAGUGUCAAAGCAGAUGGAAUAUACCUAUUUAAUAAAUGUAAAUACACCUAUUUAUCCCUCCUUU